rnacentral:rRNA from 1 species
GUAGUUAGCCGUGGCUUCCUCCUUAGGUACCGUCAUUAUCGUCCCUAAAGACAGAGCUUUACAAUCCGAAAACCUUCUUCCCUCACGCGGCGUUGCUGGGUCAGGCUUGCGCCCAUUGCCCAAUAUUCCCCACUGCUGCCUCCCGUAGGAGUCUGGACCGUGUCUCAGUUCCAGUGUGGCCGAUCAGCCUCUCAGCUCGGCUACCCAUCGUCGGCUUGGUGGGCUGUUAUCUCACCAACUACCUAAUGGGACGCGAACCCCUCUAAAAGCGAUAAAUCUUUGACCUCUUCCCGAUGCCGGGUUGUGGUCUUAUGCGGUAUUAGCAGUUGUUUCCACCUGUUAUUCCCCACUCUUAGGCAGGUUGUUCACGCGUUACUCACCCGUGCGCCACUAGAAUUAUCAAUUCCAUCCGAAAACUUCCUUAAUAAUCCCCGUUCGACUUGCAUGUGUUAGGCACGCCGCCAGCGUUCGUCCUAAGCCAGAAUCAAACUCUGA